GACGAACGCUGGCGGCGUGCUUAACACAUGCAAGUCGAACGGAGUGGCGAACGGGUGAGUAACACGUGGGUGACCUGCCCUGCACUUCGGGAUAAGCCUGGGAAACUGGGUCUAAUACCGGAUAGUGGGGGAUGGGCCCGCGGCCUAUCAGCUUGUGGGUGGGGUAAUGGCCUACCAAGGCGGCGACGGGUAGCCGGCCUGAGAGGGUGGACGGCCACAUUGGGCCUGCGGCACGGCCCAGACUCGUACGGUGGGCAGCAGGGGGGAAUAUUGCGCAAUGGGCGGAAGCCUGAGGAAGCGGCGCCGGGGGGGGGAUGACGGCCUUCGGGUGGUAAACUCCUUUCACCAUCGACGCGGUAGAUGGAGAAGAAGCACCGGCUAACUACGUGCCAGCAGCCGCGGUAAUAC
rnacentral:rRNA from 1 species